CUGAGACGUGACUGAUGUUAAGAUGGAGUCCGGACGGAUCACGAACCGGUUCCUGCGGGACCGGUAACGGACGACAUGGAUCCAAAGAUGGCGGCGGAACGAAGCGUCGUGUCUCACGUGUCGAUCAGUCCGCGGAAAACCCUCUGAUGGAGGAACAGCGAUGGUGACGAGGUGGAACUUCCUGACAGGAAGUGUUAGCAACGUUGAGUCGUGAGAACUAAUCAGAGAAGAGAACGUGGUGAACCUGAAGCAGAACGUGGUUCUGUCUCGGUCCUGAUGAGAAGAACCAGCAAGCUGCUGAUCAACUGUCUGUCACUUCCUGUCUACGAGCUCGUUCAUUAGUGUCACGUGACAUGAGAAGAAACAGUGACCCCUGCAGGUCAGUUCAGUCACAGCACGUGAAGAAUCUGAUCAGAUCAGAAGAAAUAAUGUUUGAUAUUUAGUCUGAACAUCAAGACAAGUGAUCAGUUCACUGUUUACGAUGACCAAACUGAUGAAAAGAAGCUGAAAUGAUGGCAUCACUCACAUACUGAUCAGUGUGUGGAUCAUAGUUCUAAUAAAACGAAGUAGCUGUUGAUUCUCGUGUUGUUGAAGCUCUAUUAUUAAUGAGUCUAUGUUUCAAAACCAGAGUGACACGUCAUCUCUUUUGUCCCCGUCAGGAUCCUAUAGAACAAAGUCGCUGGUUUCCACUGAUCUGAUUGGUCGGUAGUUUCGACCGUUAUCAGGAGCAGGUCACAGGUUCAGCAUCAGUUACCAUGGUGAUUUACCCUGGUUACAAGUAAAGCCUGAAGUUACCAUGGUAACCACACAUGCUGCUUCAUGUUCAGGUCUGAAGAUUGGUUUAUAGAAAUGUGUAAUUGUACUGUAUAGUAUGUACUUGUGUCACUGUACAGUGUGUACUUGUACUUCAACAUGUUCCCUGGCUGCAGCUCAGAUAAUCAGAUUAAGUGAAAAACCCAGAGGAGUUGACCUGACAGAAAACUUUGAGACGACAAGUGUGAUCAUUGAAAACUUUAUAAAAAAAAAAAGGCGUCCCUUGAAAUCCCAACAUGCCGAGCGGCGCAGACGGACACAUGGAGGGGGCGGAGCUUAAAGAAACACAUUUACACAUUGUUCAGUGACAAUGUGUCCACUGUAUCAUGUUGAUAAUAACUCAUAUUCAUGAGUCAUCUCGUUUCACUGCUGUAAAUUAAAGCCAUGGAUAUUAAAUUAUUGAUGAAUCUGCAGAUUUUUAUUCCAAUAAUUCAUGUGAGUCGACAUGUCAAAGGUUAAAGUUCGAGUGAACGACACCUGCUCCAUGUGACCAUCAGGAAGUCAUCGUGGUCGUUGAUCCUCAGUUGAUUAGUAAUUGAUCUACGAUUGAUUAGUUUUCCUGUAAGACGUGAUUUAUGAAAUAGUUCAAUAAAGUUGAAUGAAACUAAAA